rnacentral:rRNA from 1 species
CCUACGGGGAGCUGCAGUAGGGAAUCUUCCACAAUGGGCGAAAGCCUGAUGGAGCAACGCCGCGUGGGUGAAGAAGGUCUUCGGAUCGUAAAACCCUGUUGUUAGAGAAGAAAGUGCGUGAGAGUAACUGUUAACGUUUCGACGGUAUCUAACCAGAAAGCCACGGCUAACUACGUGCCAGCAGCCGCGGUAAUACGUAGGUGGCAAGCGUUAUCCGGAUUUAUUGGGCGUAAAGGGAACGCAGGCGGUCUUUUAAGUCUGAUGUGAAAGCCUUCGGCUUAACCGGAGUAGUGCAUUGGAAACGGGGAGACUUGAGUGCAGAAGAGGAGAGUAGAACUCCAUGUGUAGCGGUGAAAUGCGUAGAUAUAUGGAAGAACACCAGUGGCGAAAGCGGCUCUCUGGUCUGUAACUGACGCUGAGGUUCGAAAGCGUGGGUAGCAAACAGGAUUAGAUACCCCGGUAGUC